GACCGGGGGAUAACACAGAGAUCCGCUCUUAUUUUACUUAAGUUAAGCGAUGGAACCGUACACUAAAGAAAAAAAAUCAUCCUUGGGUCUUUGGUGUUCAUAUGUGUGUGAAAGAAUCUAGGAUGUUCCAAGAAAAGGCAUCAGCCAAUUGCUUAAAUAUAGUAACAACAUCUACUGAAGAUGAUGCUUUCCAAAAAAAAGGCCACAGUGCUCGAGUCCUUAGUCCAGAAGAAGUGGAAAAGCUGGCAAAAGAUCAGGUUUUGGUGUCAGAGUUCAAACAGCUAAAGCUGGAGAAAGAGGCACAGAAGAACUGGGAUCUAUUUUACAAAAGAAACAGCACCAACUUCUUCAAAGACAGACAUUGGACAACCAGAGAGUUUCAAGAGUUAAAGGCAUGUCGUGAGUUUGCAGAUCAAAAACUGACCAUUCUGGAAGCAGGCUGCGGGGUUGGGAACUGCUUGUUUCCACUCUUAGAAGAAGAUCUGAAUAUUUUUGCAUAUGCCUGUGAUUUUUCUCCUAGAGCUGUUGAGUAUGUGAAGAAAAAUGCCUUAUAUAGUACUGAAAGAUGUAAAGUGUUCCAGUGUGAUCUUACCAAAGAUGAUCUUCUGGACAAUAUACCAGCAGAUUCUGUGGAUGUUGUCACACUUAUAUUUGUGCUUUCUGCCAUUCAUCCUGACAAAAUGCAUCUUGUCCUGAGGAACAUUUACAAGGUAUUGAAACCAGGCAAGUGUGUCCUGUUCCGAGACUAUGGCCUGUAUGAUCAUGCAAUGCUCAGGUUUAAAUCUGGCAGCAAACUUGGGGAGAACUUUUAUGUCAGACAAGAUGGGACAAGAUCAUAUUUUUUUACUGAAGAGUUCUUAUCUCAGCUUUUCAAGGCUGAGGGAUAUGAGCAAGUGGUCAAUGAAUAUGUGCAGCGAGAAACUGUGAAUAGGAAAGAAGACUUGCGUGUCCCAAGAGUUUUUCUUCAAAGCAAAUUUCAAAAACCUUUCAGUGAGAUAUAAGUUCUUGCUGAGUAGCAACAGCAUUGCCUGAUUGAAAUGGAAGCUAGCACAUAAGCUGUGUGCUCAUCUUUCUGGUGAACCAAAAAUGACAGCAUCCAGUACCUCUGGUUGGUUUCCAUCCUAGGAUACAAAAUACAAAUAGUAUUUCUAAUUCAAUUUUAAGACUGUUUAGUGAUGCAGACCUGUUGAACAUCUGUAUUCCUGCUUCUAAAAUAAAACCUGUGCAUCAUUUUUGGAGAUCAGCUCUUUGCACUGUGGCACUUUGCACUGCAGGAUCUUUUCUGUGUUCUUUGAUGACGUAGUUUCGAAAUCAUGCCUGGGUCUUUAACCUGCAUUUUGAACAGCUGCAGCAGAGGAAGCCCAGAAGCAUCCGUGGUAAAGUUGGAGGAAGUUGAGUCAGCUUUAAGAAAUCCUUGCCUCGUCACUUGAGACACAGUAACUGAUGAGGUGCAUGUGGUUGCUGUAGUGCUGAGUAAAGUGGAUCCACUCCCCCACAACUCUUCAGCCUUCCCAAGAUCUGGUUGGUCUCUGUCACUGCCUGUGGAUUUGAGGAGCCGUGGCCAGCUCUCAGGGGAGGAGGAUGAGCCUGGAUGUUUGCAUGCUUCAGUGCUGGCACCAAGAUGUUCAGAGCCAACAAGUGUACAGCCUGCAAGAGAGAUACGAAAACUGGCACCUGCCCUUUGUUCAACAGGAUGAUGGGAAUGUUGGACGUUGGACCACUACAGUGUUGGCAUGAGCCACAGCACACCAGGGAAGAGAAACGCCAAGGCCCUGGGAACCUCUGUCUGUGUGUACCCAUUGGAUUCCCUUAAUGGACAGCAGUAAGGGCAUGUCAGCCUCCAGCAGAGCCUGAAAAAGAAGAAAGGAAAAAAGAAGGGGGCGGGGUGGGGGAUUAAAAAAGCCGACAAGGUGUCCUUAGCGUUUCCCGGCACCUGGAACUACUCAUCCGGUGUGCCUCACGCAGUGCCGUUGCGGGAGGGACGCGGGAAUUAGCACGCCAGAAAAACGGGGCGUGAGGGAGGGUUAAAAAAAAAAGAAAGAGGGGGGGAAGAAAGGAAA